AUACGUAGGGGGCGAGCGUUGUCCGGAAUGAUUGGGCGUAAAGGGCGCGUAGGCGGCCUGAUAAGUCUGGAGUGAAAGUCCUGCUUUCAAGGUGGGAAUUGCUUUGGAGACUGUCGGGCUUGAGUGCGGAAGAGGUAAGUGGAAUUCCCAGUGUAGCGGUGAAAUGCGUAGAGAUUGGGAGGAACACCAGUGGCGAAGGCGACUUACUGGACUGUAACUGACGCUGAGGCGCGAAAGUGUGGGGAGCAAACAGGAUUAGAUACCCUGGUAGUCCACACUGUAAACGAUGAAUGCUAGGUGUAGGGGGUAUCGACCCCUUCUGUGCCGCAGUCAACACAAUAAGCAUUCCGCCUGGGGAGUACGGCCGCAAGGUUGAAACUCAAAGGAAUUGGCGGGG
rnacentral:rRNA from 1 species